AGACAGGCGACAGCGUCGCUGAGCACUAACUUCUAUUCCACGGAGGCAGACAGCGAAAACCAUUUCAGAACCACGGCAAGGCAUGAGAGAAGCACAGGGUAGCUGCAAAGUUUUGGAAAAGACCUCUGCAGCAACUGGAAGCACAGUGUACCCAAGUGGCAUGGUGCAGAGGGCAGAAAGAAGACAAAGAACGAAGAUAAAAGAAGCCUUUUUCCUCAAGAAGAUUGUAAUCUAGUGGUGGAGCUGGAAAAUAAAGGAAAGCAGUGGCCAUGUAUGUCAUGAGGACAUUCCAGUAACCCUAUGUGGUAAGGAACCGAGUCAGCCUGCCAACAAAAACUGCCACUGAAAAACUGAGCCCUCCUGCUGACAGCCAUGUGAGAGGAACACCUGGGAAGUGGAUCCUCCAGGCCUGGUCAUACUUCAGAUGACU
rnacentral:lncRNA from 1 species